GGGUCUGCAAGGCAUCGUGCCUAAAGGAUGAGGAAUUUUAAAGACGCACUCGAGGGCAGGUUUUGGAAAUUCCUGUUGCCCUUUUGUGGUUUUACAGCUUCGGGAUAGUAUUUGUCCGGAAUUUCUUUUUUAAAGUCUUAGGAAAGUUUGGUGCUUUAAUGUAGUCUGUGUUUUUAACAGUCUCUUUUGUGCUCGCUUGAAAACAAUCUGCGUCCAAGUGUAUUAACUUGAAUUCACACAUGGUUCCACUGGUUUAUGCAAAUUUUUCUUUAAGUUUGUUUCUGUAAAGACAUCGUGGUACCUGCAGUGGCCUCUCUUUGGGGAAAGACUUUGGUAUAUGCCAUUUUGAAAACAAUCAUUUCAGUGGUACAUUCGCUUAAAGUGUUGAAGCCUGUGAGAUCCAUGACUCAAGUGAAAGAUGCGGAUGGUGCGUGGCUUUGGUUUGUGCCGCGGUUAGAGACAGAUAGCUCUGCACAGUGCCUUUUGUGUUUUCUAAAACUCAGUAGAGGACAAAACUUGUGUUUUGCUAUGAAGUACCUAUAACGUGUCAAGCAAAUGAUUUAAACACUUAGUUAUUUCUGU
rnacentral:lncRNA from 1 species